rnacentral:misc_RNA from 1 species
GAUGAAGAACGCAGUGAAAUGCGAUAAGUAAUGUGAAUUGCAGAAUUCAGUGAAUCAUCGAAUCUUUGAACGCACAUUGCGCCCUCUGGUAUUCCGGGGGGCAUGCCUGUUCGAGCGUCAUUACAACCCUCAAGCUUUGCUUGGUAUUGGACAUUGCCAGUUUCUGGCAGGUCUUAAAAUCAGUGGCGGUGCCAUUUGGCUUCAAGCGUAGUAAUUCUUCUCGCUUUGGAGAUCCAAGUGGUUACUUGCCAAUAACCCCCAAUUUUUUCAGGUUGACCUCGGAUCAGGUAGGGAUACCCGCUGAACUUAAGCAUAUCAAUAAGCGGAGGA